rnacentral:rRNA from 1 species
CGUCUACCAUGCAGUCGACGCUGAAGCCUAAAGCUUGCUUUGGGUGGAUGAGUGGCGAACGGGUGAGUAACACGUGAGUAACCUGCCCCUGAUUUCGGGAUAAGCCUGGGAAACUGGGUCUAAUACCGGAUAUGACCUUCUCUCGCAUGAGGGUUGGUGGAAAGUUUUUCGAUUGGGGAUGGGCUCGCGGCCUAUCAGCUUGUUGGUGGGGUAAUGGCCUACCAAGGCGACGACGGGUAGCCGGCCUGAGAGGGCGACCGGCCACACUGGGACUGAGACACGGCCCAGACUCCUACGGGAGGCAGCAGUGGGGAAUAUUGCACAAUGGGGGAAACCCUGAUGCAGCGACGCAGCGUGCGGGAUGACGGCCUUCGGGUUGUAAACCGCUUUCAGCAGGGAAGAAGCGAAAGUGACGGUACCUGCAGAAGAAGUACCGGCUAACUACGUGCCAGCAGCCGCGGUAAUACGUAGGGUACGAGCGUUGUCCGGAAUUAUUGGGCGUAAAGAGCUCGUAGGUGGUUGGUCACGUCUGCUGUGGAAACGCAACGCUUAACGUUGCGCGUGCAGUGGGUACGGGCUGACUAGAGUGCAGUAGGGGAGUCUGGAAUUCCUGGUGUAGCGGUGAAAUGCGCAGAUAUCAGGAGGAACACCGGUGGCGAAGGCGGGACUCUGGGCUGUAACUGACACUGAGGAGCGAAAGCAUGGGGAGCGAACAGGAUUAGAUACCCUGGUAGUCCAUGCCGUAAACGUUGGGCACUAGGUGUGGGGGGCAUUCCACGUUCUCCGCGCCGUAGCUAACGCAUUAAGUGCCCCGCCUGGGGAGUACGGUCGCAAGGCUAAAACUC